CUUGACUGUAGCCUGGAAUUGGGUUCGGGCUUUUCUUGCGCAGCCUAGGUGGGAGGCUAUGAAGAUUUCCUUCCGGGGAAGUUGGAGCCAACAGUGAGAGACCACUCUGGAAAGGCUAGAAUCCUCAUGGCGAUCCUUGAAUCAGGACACUUGACAGUUUCAGGCGGGCAGUUUCUCUGGGGCGGAGACCUCAUAAAAGGUAACUGAGGCGCGCAAAGGUUCCCUCAAUCUGGACGGAAAUCAGAUUGCGGAGUGUAAAGGCAAAAGGGAGCUUGACUGCAAGACCUACAAGUCGAGCAGGAGCGAAAGCUGGCCUUAGUGAUCCGACGGUUCCGUGUGGAAGGGCCGUCGCUCAACGAAUAAAAGUUA
rnacentral:rRNA from 1 species